GACGUAGGGGUCCAAGCGUUGUCCGGAUUAUCGUGGCGUAAAGAGCACGUAGGCGGCUUGUUAAGUGUGAAGUGAAAUCUCCAGAGCUCAACUCGGAAACCGCUUCGCAUACUGGCAAGCUAGAGGAAUGCAGAGGUAAGUGGAAUUCCUGGUGUAGCGGUGAAAUGCAUAGAUAUCAGGAGGAACACCCAUGGCGAAGGCAGCUUACUGGGCAUUAUCUGACGCUGAGGUGCGAAAGCGUGGGGAGCAAACAGG
rnacentral:rRNA from 1 species